rnacentral:tRNA from 1 species
GGGGAUGUAGCUCAGUGGUAGAGUGUGUGCUUCGCAUGCAUGAGGUCCUGGGUUCAAUCCCCAGCAUCUCCA